rnacentral:rRNA from 1 species
AUGUUUCAGUCCCUGGAGCUGCCAUUAAGACCACAGGGCAUGUUUAUGCAUCUGAGGCAUAUGACUUGUCAAAUUGUCGUCUAUUGUAGAGAAUUAAAUGAAGAUAAUGGACUUCUUCAACUGGCCCAUUGGUUGGACGCUGCACCCCGACUGGAGACGUUGCACUUGCAUAUGCACUAUCUGAGUCCCGGUGCUUUCUUCAGUGCCGAGGUGGCGGGGGCGGAAGGUCCCUGUAUGUGUCGCCAUGAUCAUCUUAAGACGGUCUUCAUGGGUGGGUUUCAGUGUUACAAGUCUCAGAUUGAGCUGGCGUGCUCUAUCUUGGGAAAUGCUUUUGUACUUGAGCAGCUGACAAUCGAACCAAGGCUCACAGAAGCAAUAUGGGGUGAUAAGUCUUACCAGUGGAAUAUAGGCCUUGAAAGAAUUUUACCAAGGGUCUGUGAAUGGGCACAGCGAACCUCGAAGCGCUUUGGUAAGGUGAUCACCGUCUUAGAUGCCCCCCUUCACAGUGAGUAA